CCUAUGGGUGGCAGCAGUGGGGAAUAUUGGACAAUGGGCGAAAGCCUGAUCCAGCCAUGCCGCGUGUGUGAAGAAGGCCUUCGGGUUGUAAAGCACUUUCAGUGGGGAAGAAAGCCUUGGGGCUAAUACCCUCGAGGAAGGACAUCACCCACAGAAGAAGCACCGGCUAACUCCGUGCCAGCAGCCGCGGUAAUACGGAGGGUGCGAGCGUUAAUCGGAAUUACUGGGCGUAAAGCGCGCGUAGGCGGUCUGAUAAGCCGGUUGUGAAAGCCCCGGGCUCAACCUGGGAACGGCAUCCGGAACUGUCAGGCUAGAGUGCAGGAGAGGAAGGUAGAAUUCCCGGUGUAGCGGUGAAAUGCGUAGAGAUCGGGAGGAAUACCAGUGGCGAAGGCGGCCUUCAGGACUGACACUGACGCUGAGGUGCGAAAGCGUGGGUAGCAAACAGGAUUAGAUACCCUGGUAGUC
rnacentral:rRNA from 1 species